rnacentral:lncRNA from 1 species
CCUAAUUCGGCGUGCUGUCUUCAGAUGGUGCAGCCUCGGGCUCCGAGAAUGCUGCUCUGCUUAACCCAUUCUGUUCAAGACUGCAGAGGGCAACCUGCCCGCUCCUCUCUGUCACUAUUCUAGGAGCUGGAGACACAGUAUUGAACAAAGCUGGCAAAAUCCCUGCCUUGUGUUGUGGUUCUUGCACUCUAAUGAAGAAAAGUCGGGCUGCUGAGGAAGCUCCAUGUGGGUGGAAAUAACCUCUUCCUGGAUAUACAGAGGUGUCGACUUUGUGAGAUUGUAAGUUUCACAAGGAUGGGACCACGUCUCUCUUAGUGACACUGCAUCCCCAGCCGUCUGGCAUGAUAGGUCCUCGAUAAAUGCUAGAUUAAUGAACAAAGGAAUUAAUAAAUGAAUCUCAGUAUUUUAAUCUGGUUGGUGCCCAAAAAACCAUAAGCACAAAUAUCCAUAAUACAAGGUCAAGAGUUU